rnacentral:rRNA from 1 species
ACGGGAGGCAGCAGUGGGGAAUAUUGGGCAAUGGGCGCAAGCCUGACCCAGCGACGCCGCGUGAGGGAAGACGGUCUUCGGAUUGUAAACCUCUUUCAGCAGGGAAGAAAAUGACGGUACCUGAUGAAUAAGCCACGGCUAACUACGUGCCAGCAGCCGCGGUAAUACGUAGGUGGCAAGCGUUAUCCGGAUUUACUGGGUGUAAAGGGCGCGUAGGCGGGGAUGCAAGUCAGAUGUGAAAUCCAUGGGCUUAACCCAUGAACUGCAUUUGAAACUGUAUCUCUUGAGUGUCGGAGAGGUAGAUGGAAUUCCUAGUGUAGCGGUGAAAUGCGUAGAUAUUAGGAGGAACACCAGUGGCGAAGGCGAUCUACUGGACGAUAACUGACGCUGAGGCGCGAAAGCGUGGGGAGCAAACAGGAUUAGAUACCCUGGUA